rnacentral:tRNA from 1 species
GGGCCCCUAGCUCAGCGGCAGAGCAACCGGCUCAUAACCGGUUGGGCCUCGGUUCGAAUCCGAGGGGGCCCA